CCUAUUCAUAGGUUUUAAAUGUUAAAUAAAUUACCUAAAUAUCUUAAAUUUUCAACGAUGGAUAUCUAGGCUCCUAUAACGAUGAAGAACGCAGCGAAAUGCGAUACGCAAUGCGAAUUGCAGAACCGUGAGUCAUCAGAUUUUUGAACGCAAGUGGCGAUGGUCUUCGGCCAUCAUGUUUGUUUCAGUGUGCUCGGUUAAUUACAUCAUAGAAUUUAAUGUGACUGAAGCAAUUCUUUCACUAAAUAUGAAGUAAUGUCAGCCUAUUGAACAUUAAAUGAAAAUGUCACUAAUAUGGUGAUAAUCAUUUAAGUGUCUUUGGUUGUAAAUCAUUACUUGAAAAUGAAUUAUCCAAUCAUAACACCUGAAAUAAGCAAGAGUACCCGCU
rnacentral:rRNA from 1 species